UAAUUAUGCAAAUUAUAUAUCCUCUAUUUCUAUGCAAAAAUUUAUAUUUAAAAAAUGACAAUACAAGUGAAUGUGGAUGUAGCUAAUGAUACGGAAUUUAUUUAUUUUGAGAUGAAUGAAUAAAAUAUUCUCCUUAUACUAAAUUGGCCCGUGUCAGCCAAGUACAAUCUAUCAUCACUAAGUGAUUGAUAAUUUGGGAGGAAAAAAAAAAUGAGAAUUUAAUAAGAUAAACUUAUCCUGUAACCGUCAUACACGACCUGAAAUAUUUCCACAAAAUAAAACAAUACUCUAAUGAAUACUUCAAUUAAUUCGAGAAAUUCAUUGAUAUUGAAAAAUCUUGAUGUACCCCCAAUAACCCUGUAAAUUUUUCAAUUGAUGUAUCGAACCGUUUUUUUCGGGGUGAUUAAUUAAAGUUUUGCAAAAGAAUUGAAGGAACGAGUUUUGUUUCUUAAAAAAAGUAAUCAUCAUCAAAAUAAAAAAAUUAUUUGUUUUGGACUUUUCUUAUAUUUUUACGUCGGUUACUCAGUAAAUGUGAAGAAAAGAGAAAAAAAAAUCUGUGUACCGGUAAACCCUGCAGACCAGCCCCAAAACUUCCCACUGUUUUUGAGCUCCUUGAGCUCGAAAACAUAAUUACUUGAAAAUAUUUCGGCUCUUCGAACUCAAAAAACUAUUAGACCGUCAAAAACAUGCAUUUCUCGCGUGGCUCUGAUGAAAACUUUAUUUUUGAAAAUUGGACCGAAACCAAUAAUUUUC